rnacentral:lncRNA from 1 species
CGAAUGUGCUGAGUGGCUGAUUGACACUCCCCCGUUGCCUUCUUAGCAGCACUGCCAACACAGCUGCCCUCUACUCUGCACAGGCCAACCUCCUACCGUGGAAACGCAGGGAGUCAAGCCUCUGCUCAGACCUUCGCCUCCCUUCAGUGCUCCUGCACAUUCAGCCCUUCUUUGCCCAGAUAGUAUUAGCCAAACAGAAGCCCAGUAGCCAAAAGCUGUCUUUAAGCAAGUGUUUUCUUUGGCCUCUUGCACAUCAAAGGGAACAUAACAGUGACAUGAUAAUAAGCAACAAUGAUCCUCAUUGUUUCAAAGAGACAACAUCAGUGCCAGCAGUGCCAGUGAGACCCUGGAGUGUCCGUUGCUUUCUGUGCGAAUGGAAAAUGCAGGUCAGCUACCUCUUCAGGUAUAAAGAGUGCUCAUGACGCUUAGAAAACUGGAAAUCACUUUAUAACUGCCAUUGACUGUUAUUGUCCCUAAGAGCUUCGAGAUCACCACAACACGGCUCCCAAUGUGCUCUUGAUAUAUAUGAGGGGGUACUCAUGGUGCAAUGAAAUUAAACAGGGCUGUCCUCAUGCCCACGACAAGGGUCUGUGAUUUUGGUGGGAGAAGCUGAGGAGCUACAAUCCUAAUGCGUCACAGAUGGAAGUGUUGGAGGAUUCCUGCACCAUGAGGGGGUAACCAGCUAUUGCAGAGGCAGCUACAGUAUCCAGGAGGUUCUGGAGGAGAUGAACACCCUUCUAGCUCAGAGGACACUUCCUGCUCUGGACCAGUGUCUGUGACCCCAAGGCUUGACUGGACCCUUGCAGUAAACACCCUCCUUCCUCACAGCCUCUGCCCGGGGCCCCACCCCAGCACAAAUGCUUCCGCAGCCUACACUCCUCCACACUUGGAAACCACCCCAGAGGAAUAAUGAGAGCAAGGAGCAGGGAUUUGGCAAAUGUUCAGAAUGCCAGGAGAAUCAUGGAUUUGUCUCUGACUCCAUGGGCCUUGGCCUCACCCAGUGGAAAACUGGGAAAAUUCCCUACUGGCUCCUCCCCACCUCCCCCAACAACCAUGCUUCACCAAACAGACGCACCUCCAGAGGAAGGUUAAGUAAGGUCACUCUCUGGAUUCCUCUGAAAUAAAAUUGUUGCUUAAAAAUACAGAUUCAAAAAUAAAGUUUAAAUGGGGUAACACACUGCAGUAAGAUCCGAUCCUGACUUCCACAAAUGGGGUAGAUGUUCAGGCUGCUGGGGGCUCGUGGGAGGUGGUUCCGGGUAAUGCAAGGAGCACAGGAUUAAGAGACCUGGACUUAAAUCCUCAGUCUGUCACCCCCCAGCUGAGUGACUUUGGGCAAGUCGCUUAAUCUCUCUGAGCCUCAUUUUCCUCAUUUGUAGAAUGAAGGCAAUUCUUUUCUUACCUAUAAGGUUAUAGAUGAACAAGUGCUUUGUAAAGCCCUGCAGGGCGGGAGGUGCCAUGUGAAGGGAGAGCUGGCGCUAGCAGGAUUUAGGUUGGAGAUUUUUAUUACUUUGCCCUUUCCCUACCCACACCCAAAAAGAAGACUGUCUCCUUCUACAAAAUGGAUCUUAACACAGACACACACACACACAGAAUCUCGCAGUCCCUGUGGGCUUAUCACUUUUUUAGAGCUAAUUGAUCUUGGAAAACAGCUUUUCCCAUAAAGAUCCAGUGGCCAGGGACUGCUGACACCCACUCUUU